AUGGAAUUAAUUACAAUGUUUUGUCUUGCUCAGGUGUCGUCUGCCCAGCGGCUGCAGACACCCCCAGCCGGGCUCUCCCCGUGCUCCCUGGAAGGACACAAUGACAGCGCACCCAAGCUGGCUGCAGAAGCCCAGCGUGGCACAGGAACAGCACUGCGUGUGCCUGGGCUGCCAGGACUUGCCCUGCGCGUGGGCAGGUUUGCAGGGCCUCACCAAAUCAGCAGGCUCCCUUUUGAUAUGGUCCAUACAUUCCCUGGCGGGCAGAUGUGUGGCCCUGUCAUAAACCAAUUCCCUUCAAAUGAGCUGAGGCUGCAGCAGGGCACCUGGGUACCGACGGUCCCAUGGGGACAUGACUUACUGGUCAGUACUUUUCCAGUCCCACAUAACUUCUUCAGGUGUGUGUGAUGAUGUGCCCUGACUGGAGGUGUAGCAGUAAAUAGGCUAUAGGGCCUUUCAGGACACCGGGCAUUUUCUCUUAGUCAGAUAGUUAUCAGUAUCACACAGAAGUAAGGUCAGCUCAUGUUGCAAAGAUUUUUGGUAACAGAACUUGUUAUUUUAUUUGUGCCAGGCCUUGGAGCUACUUUAAUACAGUAACAAAACUGUAAAUAAUCAUGAGUGAAAAUGUCAUUUUUUUUCCUCCUCUUUACGAUUUCCUUUUGGUUUGGUGUGGGCAUUCCCUGGUACACAGAUAACGUGUCCCUGACAUGUUUAAAAUAAUCACGAAAGACCCUGACGAGGAGCAGCCCAAAACCUGCUUUACUGCAGAUGCAUGAGGAGCAUCGAUCUGGCUCCAGCCCAGAGCUCCAUGACAUGCAGAAGUGGGAAGGGAGCCAUGCAGGUAGCACGUUCUGAGCUACGUAAAUGCUGUUAAGGCUUCUAGUUUUUUGAGAUGCAAAACUUGAAGGAAAGCUUGCUAUUUUAUUUAUGUUUUUAAUCUCUUUAAAAUAUGUUCAUAUGCCUCUGGGAAACCUCCAUCAUAUACACCUCUUCUCCUUUUCCUUGUUUCCACAGUGCUCAAAAUCAUCUCCUCCAAAGGUAAACCUUUCAGUGAACACUGGAAUAAAAUGGAAGGUCUGCGUUGUGCUACUGUUCAGACUUGGCUUUGAAGAGUCUAAGCUCAUGUCCUCAAAAGAAAGCCCACGAUUUUUUGAGGCUCUUUUACAUCCCAUCAAAAUUCAUGUUUCACCUCAAGCCCCAGUAAGUUAGCUAGAGCAAUAUUUCCUCAUUCAUAGGGUAAUACUUAGCCUUUUACGUUGUCCUCACUGCCAUGUUGUGCUGUUAAGGGCAAAAAGCAUUGCUUAAUACCUUCUAACAACAAUUGAGUCUAUUUUUAAACACAAAUAUGUUUCUGUUCUGCACUGCCCAUUGCUGGGGCAUUUUCAGACUGCGAAGCCUUACCUCUUCUAGGUUACCAGCUGUCUUUCUCAUGGCAAACCUACCACAACUAUUUCAUAAGCUAAAUAUAAUGGUGAACCCAUGCAAACAUCAGGGUCAAUUUUCAAUCACAUUUUGUUCUCCCCAAAGCAGAAAAUGCUUGUUGCUUGGAAGUUGAUCUUGGAAAUCAUUCAAGUGCUCUCUGAGGUUUUCAGAGAUGUCUGUUCUGAGGAGAUACCAAAUGUGCACACGUGGGCCCCACACAGCUGACGAAUGUGCACCUGAUGACUUCCCGUGCUCGCUGCGCCAGAGUCAAGCAGCUGUAGGACUGAGACUUGGGGUGUAACAGUGAGCAAAAGCUUCAGGUAAGACAUUUAUCAGCUUUUACUCAUCUGCCGGUAGCACGUAUCGCUACGUUCAUAUCCCACGUGGAUAACCUGGAUCUAGUGUCUUCCACUCUCUGUAACUCCUCAGCUCAAAAUUAACAUAGAGCAAGAAUUAUUAUUUUUGAAUGGUGGAAAUAGUACAAAAAGUCUGCAUAUAACUAACAGCCAGCCACUUUAGCAGCACAACACUGGAUCUGUGCGUAUCACUUCUCUGUGUGUGUUCGGGCUGAAAUGAGAUACAGAAAGGUUUCCAGUUGGCUACGUCGCUGUAGUGCUGUGUGAGACACGUAGAGGUACCGUAAGGUCCCUGCUGCAUCCGCGCCUCCCCCAGGGCUUUAGGGCUGCUUCAGCAGAGGCACUG
ensembl:lncRNA